UCCCUCGUCCCCUUCCCCUCCAUCUCAAUCCCUUCGCUCUCUCCUCUCGUCCCCUCACUGAAUCCCCACUCGGCAAGAAUCUCUCACUCACCAACACAAAAUCAACCAAUGCUGGCUGAUUCCAAGAUGGAUCCAACGAAUAGCAGGCAAGGGUCUUGUUCUUGAGCGGAGCAGCGUGAGCUUGAGGCCGGCGGCGGCGGCGGCUCUUGGUCCAGCGGGCCGGGGAAGGGGCGGAGGCUGCGACCUCACGCGGCGGCGCCAGAUCUUUCUGAUUCCGACUCGUUGGCCUCUCAAUCUUAAAUCUUUGCCUGCAAGCACGGCCCGCGAUGCCGCCGGCGCGUGUGCGGGAGUUGGGGGAGAUGUACGAGCUCGUGGAGGAGAUCCUGCUCCUCAUCCCGCCUGAGGAGCCCGCGGUCCUCAUCCACGCCUCCCUCGUCUGCAAGGCGUGGUGCCGCCUUCUCUCCAGCCACGCCUUCCACAGCCGCUACCACACCUUGCACAAAACACCUCCAGUCCUGUGCUUCUUACAAAGGUGGGAGGACAACGUGGAGCGCUUCGUCCCCACCACAAAGUUCCGCCCCCGCAAUCCCGAGCGGCGAGACAGUUAUGUGCUCGACUGCCGCCAUGGCCGCAUUCUUCUUGGGUGUAGGUGGUACGAUGAGGGGGAGGAGGACGAUGAGGAGGAGGAAGCUGACGAGCAGUUGGAAGAGGAAGAAGAUGAUAUCGAGGAGGACGGUGAGGGGGAAGAAGCUGACAAGGAGGAGGAAGAAUAUGAUACGGAUGAGGAGGGGGAGGAGGACGACGACGAAGAUGAAGAUGAGGGGGAGGAAGAUGACAGGGUCUUGAAGAUGGUCGUCUGGGACCCCGUGUCGGGAGGCCGAACCAAGUUGCGCAGCCCCGACAUCUUCGACCCUGACGUCAAUGGCGCAACCUAUUGGGGCACGGUGCUAUGUGCGGCGGAUGGCUGCAACCAUGCUUCCUGCAACUUGGGGCCAUUUUUCGUGGCUUUAAUCGGCCUUGACAGCUACCAGCCGUAUGAUGACGAUGAUAAGAGGCUGUGGGCGUCAGUAUACUCAUCAGAGAGCCGGGAAUGGACCUCAACAGCCAGUAUUCACAUCGGUGGCGUUGGAAGAUUUGAAGACUCCAUCAUCGGAAGGCCCAGUGUCUUUGUUGGACAAGCGCUCCACUUCCUCCUUCACGGGGAUCCAACUGUGGCCAACAUUUUUAUUCUCAAGUAUGACUUUCGUAGGCAUCGCCUAUCAGUCAUUGAUCUGCCAGAGCCGCGUGUUAGCAGUUGGACCCCCCUCCUCAUCUCGGCGGAUGACGGUGGGCUAGGGCUGGUCCACCUAGACCAGGAUGGGCUAUGCUCCAUUUGGUCGGUGGAGGUGAGUGUUGAUGGAGUAGCGUCGUGUAUCCAACUCAAAGAAACGGACCUCAAGACACUUGUCCCCAUUGGCAAUCCCAUGAGCUCAGACUCACUAAAGUUGGUUGGCUGGGUGGAGGGCACCGAUAUCAUCAUUGCAGUCACAGAUCUUGGUGUGUUCACAGUUGAUCUCAAGUCUUUGAGGUUGAGGAAGUUGUCGAGUAAGCCGUAUAAUUUCACAUUCAAGCGAGAUUCAUUUAAUAACCUCUUUCUCUACACGAGCUUCAACAAUCCACCAGGAGCGCCUGCAAUUACAGUUAUACCACUAUAUACAACUCAAAACCAGAAAAGCAAUAUGCAGGAGCACACCAUUUCGAUGUCCCUGCAAAAGGAAAAGGAAAAAAGGGCAAAAAUGAGAAAUAAAAAUAAAGGAAUCACAUCUUGGGUCGUGGUCUUGCCAUAGCAGCAGCACCAUCCUUCCUCAUCAUGAUCAUCUAAGGAAGAAGGUGGAAGAAAAAGAAUGGAGAAUCCAGGAAGAAAUCUGCUCAGUGGUGCCUGGCGCUAUGGCCCCUGGGGCCAUAGUAGUCCACAUGGACCUCAGGCAUCCUAUGACCUGCCCUCUCUUUCUCUUCAGAGACGGCCUCCUCCACCUCUUCCCCUGAUGAUGGCUCAGCACCAUCAGCCUUGAUCGCCACCCCUUUCUCCAUGGAUUUCUGUGACCGAUCGAAGAAAGCACGCAAGGUUAGAGAACGAUCAUCGCGCAACAACACAUCGAAUCACCGGAGACGACAGCCGCAAUCACUUACAUUGAGCACAGGGUUGCUGAGUGCCGUCUUGCUCACCGCAUCCAGCCUGAUGCCCUGGGCCAUGGCCACCAUCAGGAGCAGAAGCACAGCGGCCGCAGCCAUCGGCAGGCAUGUCUUCGCCAUCUUGUGCGCCCAGUAUCUUUAUAAGGACCUUGAAACAGUUGAGCUGGGAGACGAACGCUGUUUCAAGCCUUCAAACUCAGCUCAGGUGGAAUGGAACAACAGUGGGUCAGUCUCAGUGAAGAGCUGUGGACUCUGUUGUCUGAAGAACCAUUUGACCCUGAGAAGACCAUAUAUACUAGACACUUACACAGCAGACACACAACUUUGGUCAAGGGCACCGGCCCGGGCCCACCCGGUGAUUGGUGUACUCAUGUCUGCAGCCAAGGGUCUAACCUGAAGUACCAAUGCAGGAAUGUGGCCAUUGUUUAUGCACUCCCUGCUAUGCUUUGGAAGAGUCUGUCUGCCCUCAACCAUGGAGCCAUGUUUAUUAGGACGCUGGACCCCUGGAUUAGGCGUGUAACGCCAUGGGAAGGAUGGAAUUAAGAAUUCUGUCAAGUGCACCUCAAGCAAGUACGUAAUAAUGGACACAUCUGCUCCUCAAAGUUGCCUGCAUGUCCUGGAGAUGCACCGGGGCGCGUAUAUUUGCUCGCGCGUCCCUUCAGAAAACUGUGGGAGAAACCAUUUGAAUUUGGGCUGUUUAACUUUUUUCGCGCAAAGAUUCUGUAUCUUUUUAUUGAUAGAAGGAAUCAAAAUGAGUAUAGACAAGGAUACAACACAUGACACGAAUGCAAGGAGACGUGAACAUAAUGCCCGGAGCGGAGGGACAAGAGAUGCUCAUCCCGAUCAGAGGAAACCACACAGCUAGACUCACAAAGCCCCGAACAGGAGAGGCGUACCGAACAAGUAAGACGUCUAACAUCGUCAAAACGAACACCGGGGACACCGCGAGCUUUUAUCUGCUUUGAAGAUGAAGACAAGUAUGAGCAUGAAGAUGAAAGGUAUGUGUGGGCGUCCGUAUACUCGUCGGAGACCUGCGAGUGGAGCUCGCCGGUUCACAUCCAGGUUGGAAUAUUUGGAACCUGCAUCGUGGGAAGGCCUAGCGUCCUCGUCGGACAAACGCUCUAGCGUCCUCGUCGGACAAGCACUUUACGUCCUCUUUGAUCACCAUGAACUAGUACGUCAUACUAAUACUAAUUAUAGUGUUUUCAAGUACGACUUGCCGACUUGGGUAGGCAUUGUCUAUCAGUUAUGGAUCUGCCGGUGUCGUGUGACUCCAACCGUCUCCUCAUUUCGCCAGCCGACGGUGGGCUGGGGGCCAUCCAUCUAGACUCGCAUAGGCUAUGCCUCGUGUGAUCGAUGGAGGUGAGUCUUGAUGGAGCAGUGUCAUGGAUCCAACUCAGAGAAACGGACCUCAAGAUGCUUCUUUCUCCUGUUCGCAAUCCCAGCUGGAAAUCAAAGUCACCAAAGUUGGUUGGAUUUGUGGAGGGCACCAAUAUCAUCAUUGUGGUCACUGAUCUUCGUGUGUUCACACUUGAUCUCAAGUCCCUGAGGUUGAAGGAGUUGUCGACUAAGAAGUACACACGCAAUUACAAAUGGUGAUUGUUGGAGAACAUCUUUUUCUACAUGAGCUUCAACAAUCCAUCAGCGGUGGCUGGUGUUGUGGACGAGGACAACCCAAGGCCAAGUAAAGCAGGACGUAUUGAUGGCGGCAGUUUAAAUCUCGAGCAAGCCGUUGAAGCAUGGAAGUUCAGUUUAAUCUGUAGGUGUUGGUUUUCAUCCUAAGUCUUAUCCUUUAUGUUUGAUAUGGGAGUCUUAGCUAUGGUAUAUUGUUAAGCGUCAAUUUUAAGUUGGUUACCCAACAUGCAUGCUUGCUCUUCUUUGCGUGGCUUAUCAUGUUAUACUUUCAGUAGUAAGUAGUAACCGGUGGAAGAUAUGGUCACAAAAUUGUCAAGCUCUCGUUCCUUCUGUCAUUUUGUUGGCUUGUCAGUCUGCUCCCUGCAACUUCCUUUCCCAGGCAAAAUGCUUCCUGAUUUUGUAUAUGAAAUACCUAAUUUGGAUCCA